GGUAGGAUGGCCGAGGUUUAAGCGGCGGAUUGUAGCUCCGUAGACAGGGGUUUAAUUCCCCUUCUUACCA
rnacentral:tRNA from 1 species